UACGUAGGUGGCGAGCGUUGUCCGGAAUUAUUGGGCGUAAAGGGCGCGUAGGCGGCCUGAUAAGUCAGAUGUGAAACCCCCGAGCUCAACUCGGGGCAUGCAUUUGAAACUGUUAGGCUUGAGUGCAGGAGAGGUAAGUGGAAUUCCUAGUGUAGCGGUGAAAUGCGUAGAUAUUAGGAGGAACACCAGUGGCGAAGGCGACUUACUGGACUGUAACUGACGCUGAGGCGCGAAAGCGUGGGGAGCAAACAGGAUUAGAUACCCUGGUAGUCCACGCUGUAAACGAUGGAUACUAGGUGUGGGAGGUAUCGACCCCUUCCGUGCCGCAGUUAACACAAUAAGUAUCCCGCCUGGGGAGUACGGCCGCAAGGUUG
rnacentral:rRNA from 1 species